GGGCCUCUCGGGCAGCGGGCGGGGCGGAGCGGGCGGGGCGGGGCGGGCGCGGGGCCGUCACCGCGGGGAGGAGCCGCCGGUUCCCCGCGGGUGCGGGCUACCGGGAGUGUUCAUCCUGCCCUCGGGCCCCGGGGUAACGGGAGUGCUCAUCCCGCACUCGGACCCCGGGUACCGCACCGCUCAUCCCGCACUCUGAUCCCGGGGUACCUGGAGUGCUCAUCCCGCACUCUGAUCCCGGGUACCGGCCCCGCUCAUCCCGCACUCGGAUCCCGGGUACCGGCCCCGCUCAUCCCGCACUCGGAUCCCGGGUACCGGCACUGCUCAUCCCGCACUCGGAUCCACGGUGUCGCAGGGCAGGGGCUCUGAGCAGGGAGGCACCCGGUGCCCGCUGAGGUCACGAUGCACAAAUACAGAAUAAUGUAUUUGAAUAAAUCGGUGGGGUAGGAGGGACCUCUGGAGACGAUGCAGUCCAACCCCUCACCAAGGCAGGGUCACCCAGAGCAGGUGACACGGGUGGGUUUGGGACAUUUCAGAGCUGGAGGCUCCACACCUUCCCUAGACAGCUGUUCCAGGGCUCUGUCACCCUCAAUGGAAAGUUCUUCCCUAUGGAAGUGGAAGGACAGCUCCAAUCUCUGCUCUCUGUGCCCGGGAACAGGACCCAGGGAACAGCUGGAGCUGGGCCAGGGAGGUUUAUGCUGGAGCUCAGGAAAAGGUUCUCCCCCAGAGGGUGCUGGCACUGCCCAGGCUUCCCAAGGAAUGGGCACAGCCCCAAGGCUGCCAGAGCUCCAGGAGAGUUUGGACAACGCUCCCAGGGAUGCACAGGAUGGGAUUGUUGGGGUGUCUGGGCAGGGACAGGGGCUGCACUGGAUGACCAUGUGGGUCCUUCCAACUCUGGAUAUUCCAUGGUUCCAUGUUGUUAAACUUCCUGUAUUUUACUUUUUGUCCAUUGCUCCUCAUCCUGUCAGUGCCUCAUCCUCACACCACUAAAAGGAGUCUGGCACCAUCCUCUUGGCACCUGCCUCUGGGAUAUUCCUGUGGAUCUCAAACACAGCCCCCUGUGCCUUUGGUGUCCAUGCCCCACUCAGAUGGGGACAGAGAGUGAUUCUCUUCCUCAGCAUGGAAGUUGUUUUCCCAGGAAUGCAAUGCCUAUCAGUUCUAUGUCACCAUGCACCCAAACUUUCACUGGAAACCUGUGUUUUUCUGCUCACAGAGGCAGAGUUUUUCAUGAAAACAACUGAAAAACUGGAGAUGGAGGUGAGGCCUCUUUGAAGAUUGGGUUAUAAAAGCUGUCUCAGACUGUUCCUGCCAGGAAGUGCUGCCAUGUGAACUAGAAAGACUCCAGCAAGCCUACAUCCUUUUCAUACUUACAGUUUUACUGUCAUCCAAUAAACCAGGCAGAAAUUAAUUACUUUUUGCUGCACUGGAAAUCACUACCAGAAAGGUGCACGUAAACAACAUCAAGACAUUCCAGAAGAUGGAAUAUUUUCAACUCUAGGUUGAUAACUGUGAAGUUUGGUCAACUUUGUUUUUCUCCAGAGAGCCUGAUACUGUUUCCAAAGAAACAUGGUGCUUUUACAGUGAAAUAUAUAUGAUUGCUAUGCCUCUGUAAACUGUGCUUCCAAUAAAAAUGCCCAUAAAAGAACAGCAGGAAGCAAACAUAUUUUGUUUAGCCU